rnacentral:rRNA from 1 species
GAACGCUGGCGGUAGGCCUAACACCUGCAAGUCGAACGGCAGCACAGUAAGAGCUUGCUCUUACGGGUGGCGAGUGGCGGACGGGUGAGGAAUACAUCGGAAUCUACUUUUUCGUGGGGGAUAACGUAGGGAAACUUACGCUAAUACCGCAUACGACCUACGGGUGAAAGCAGGGGAUCUUCGGACCUUGCGCGAUUGAAUGAGCCGAUGUCGGAUUAGCUAGUUGGCGGGGUAAAGGCCCACCAAGGCGACGAUCCGUGGCUGGUCUGAGAGGAUGAUCAGCCACACUGGAACUGAGACACGGUCCAGACUCCUACGGGAGGCAGCAGUGGGGAAUAUUGGACAAUGGGCGCAAGCCUGAUCCAGCCAUACCGCGUGGGUGAAGAAGGCCUUCGGGUUGUAAAGCCCUUUUGUUGGGAAAGAAAAGCAGCAGGUUAAUACCCCGCUGUUCUGACGGUACCCAAAGAAUAAGCACCGGCUAACUUCGUG